rnacentral:rRNA from 1 species
GUGAGGAAUAUUGGGCAAUGGGCGAAAGCCUGACCCAGCCAGGCCGCGUGAGUGAUGAAGGCCUUCGGGUUGUAAAGCUCUGUGGGGAGGGAAGAAAAAGCGGGAGAGUAACUGCUCUCGUGUUGACGGUACCUCCUUAGCAAGCACCGGCUAACUCUGUGCCAGCAGCCGCGGUAAUACAGAGGGUGCAAACGUUGCUCGGAAUUACUGGGCGUAAAGCGCGUGUAGGCUGACAUGCAAGUCGGGUGUGAAAUCCCAGGGCUCAACCUUGGAACUGCACUCGAAACUGCACGUCUUGAGUACUGGAGAGGGAAGCGGAAUUCCGGGUGUAGAGGUGAAAUUCGUAGAUAUCCGGAGGAACACCAGUGGCGAAGGCGGCUUCCUGGACAGUAACUGACGCUGAGACGCGAAAGCGUGGGGAGCAAACAGGAUUAGAAACCCCUGUAGUCC